GAAAGUUUUACUUAAAUACUAUACAUUUGGUGACAUGCAUAUUAGGUCAUAUAAAAUUCUUUGGUACAAAUGUGUCAUGAUGGUAAUAUUGCUUUAUAAUGGAAUGAAUGUCUUCAUGGAUACGUUUCAUUUAUAUAUUUAUCCUCACUAGGUUAACCUUUCAGCCAAAUUGAUGUAUUUUUUUGCAUUAGGUCUUUGCUGUAACAAACCUUUAUUUUGCAGCUCACUAAUUUUCCUUAAAUAGUAACUUUAAGAUAACUCACUAAAAUAAGGUUUUUCCUUUCUUGUGCACACCUUGCUGCUAUUGUACAUGCUGUUGCACGUCAUGCUUUGUCCCCAAGUCUCUCUGAGUAGAUCAGUGGAGUUGGUUACUUUAGAAUUUCAUCCUGUUAGUCCUAAAAGACUUAGCUUCUCCUAUUUUGCAUCCAAACUUAUUUUCCUGUCUCUUAUAAACUUUGAUUUUAUUAGUUUUCAACAUGUCAGAUUGCCAGUCUACAAAGUGGACUUCUAGUUAACAAACACUUGACAGUUAUAGUUGGACCAUUGAUAAUUUCAAAGUUGUAUGUACAUACUAAGCACAUCCCAAACAUUCAGAUACUAUUGACCGUGAAAAAGCAUGAAUUGUCAAGUAAAGGUGAGUCUUUAGGAGUAGUAGUGAGAUUGGUAGAGAGCUGUUAAGUGAUACUUCACUGUAUCUCUGACAGAUUCUGCCUGGUAAGCAUGCAGCUGUGUGUAUAUUGUCAG